UUCGUACGUACGUACGUACACUAUCAAUGGCAGUGUCAGACUAGGGUAGAGAUAAAGCUAAUGGGUGUUAUUGAUGGAGAGAAAGAACCGGUUUCCAUCAGCUCUUUCAAAACUCCAUUUUUUCUUUAAUCUUUUCAUUUCCUUCUUCCAAAAGAAAACCCUUUUGAUCUUUUUUUUUUUUGCUCUUUUUGACUCCUUCCACCAUUUUUGUUCUUUUGUUUGUGUUGUUCUCGGGGUGACGAUCGUACUGCUUUGUAGAGAGGCAUUGAAUUAUUGGUGGAUGAUCUGCAAAAGAAAGCGGUCUGAGGGAAAAGUCAGCAAGAGCUAGCCUAUUGACGACGGGAAAGAGGAAGAAAGUGGUUUUUUUGGAUAGCUUGAUUUAUACCAAGUACUACGAUGGAAGGAGGAAUUGUCAUUUUUAUAUAUUGUGGGUAUUAGUACUUCUGUUUAUAUUGAUUUUUUUGGAUUUUGUAAAUUGUGGUUUAUGGUUUACUGGCUUGUCUUCUUCAAGCUUGGUUUUUGAGUAGUUAUUUUGGGUUUUUAUUAGUAGUUUUAUUUUCACUUUUCUUUUCAUGGAGUAAAUUGAUGAUUGCUCUUUUGGAAGAAGCGAAAUAUCAUUUGUUGCUAAAGGAGCUUGGACAAAAGUGAAAGGAAACUAUGAUUAAUGCCUCAACAAGUUAGUCCCUGAAGAAGAACUUGGAACCAUCAGAUCUUGAUGAAGGAAUGGAUUAUGAAAAGGACGAUGAAUCAGGAGGAAGAUGGUGGGGGAGGUUGACUCGAGAUAUUGUCACUCGAUGCGCCUUUGAAAGGGUGUAUUGCAUUGUUGAUAAAAUGUCAGAGGAGUAAAAGUGUAUGGUGAAAGAUGUCGGGUUUGGAGCUUAUAUAUAUGAGGCUUGAUUUCCCCAACAUCCACACUAAUUAAUUCAGUGGCUUGUGGAGACAUCUGAUUCAUAUGCCCCACUAAUUUUUGUUUUAUUUUUUAAUUCAUAGACAAGCAAAACAUUAUGGUCUUUUUUUUCAA